UUGAUAGUACCUUACUACUUGGAUACCCGUAGUAAUUCUAGAGCUAAUACAUGCAUCAACGCCCAAUCGGGCCGCGUCUAUUAGAUAGAAACCCAUAUUUUUGGUGAAUCAUAAUAACUGUGCGAAUCGCAUGGGUUUACCCCGGCGAUGAAUCAAUCAAGUUUCUGCCCUAUCAGCUUUCGAUGGUAGGGUAUUGGCCUACCAUGGCGUUAACGGGUAACGGAGAAUUAGGGUUCGAUUCCGGAGAGGGAGCCUGAGAAACGGCUACCACAUCCAAGGAAGGCAACAGGCGCGUAAAUUACCCAAUCCUGACACAGGGAGGUAGUGACAAUAAAUAACAAUGCCGGGCUUUUUCAAGUCUGGCAAUUGGAAUGAGAACAAUUUAAAUCCCUUAACGAGGAUCAAUUGGAGGGCAAGUCUGGUGCCAGCAGCCGCGGUAAUUCCAGCUCCAAUAGCGUAUAUUAAUGUUGUUGCAGUUAAAAAGCUCGUAGUUGCAUUUCUGGUGGGAGUGGCCGGUCCGCCGUAAGGUGUGUACUUGGUUGUCUCCUGUCAUCCUUGUGGGAACUGCUCUGGCAUUAAGUUGUCGGGGUUGGGGAACACAUCGUUUACUGUGAAAAAAUUAGAGUGUUUAAAGCAGGCUUAUGCCGUUGAAUACAUUAGCAUGGAAUAAUAAGAUAGGACUUUGGCGUCUAUUUUGUUGGUUUGCACACCAAAGUAAUGAUUAAUAGGGAUAGUUGGGGGUAUUCGUAUUUAAUUGUCAGAGGUGAAAUUCUUGGAUUUAUGAAAGACGAACUUCUGCGAAAGCAUUUACCAAAGAUGUUUUCAUUAAUCAAGAACGAAAGUUAGGGGAUCGAAGAUGAUUAGAUACCAUCGUAGUCUUAACCAUAAACUAUGCCGACUAGGGAUUGGCGGUCGUUCAUUUAUGACUCCGUCAGCACUUAUGAGAAAUCAAAGUCUUUGGGUUCCGGGG
rnacentral:rRNA from 1 species